UACGUAGGGUGCAAGCGUUGUCCGGAUUCAUUGGGCGUAAAGAGCGUGUAGGCGGCCAGGUAGGUCGGUUGUGAAAUCUCCGAGCUUAACUCGGAAAGGUCAACUGAUACUGUGCGGCUAGAGUGCGGAAGGGGCAACUGGAAUUCUUGGUGUAGCGGUGAAAUGCGUUGAUAUCAGGAGGAACACCGGUGGCGAAAGCGCUCUGCUAGGCCGCAACUGACACUGAGGGACGAAAGCUAGGGGAGCGAAUGGG
rnacentral:rRNA from 1 species